GUCUACGGCCAUGCCACCCUGAACAUGCCUGAUUUCAUCUGAUCUCGGAAGCUAAGCAGGUUCGGGCCUGGUUAGUACUUGGAUAGGAGACCACCUAGGAAUACCAGGUUCUGUAGGCA
rnacentral:rRNA from 1 species